UACGAAGGGUGCAAGCGUUAAUCGGAAUUACUGGGCGUAAAGCGCGCGUAGGUGGUUCAGUAAGUUGGAAGUGAAAUCCCCGGGCUCAACCUGGGAACUGCUUUCAAAACUGCUGAGCUAGAGUACGGUAGAGGGUGGUGGAAUUUCCUGUGUAGCGGUGAAAUGCGUAGAUAUAGGAAGGAACACCAGUGGCGAAGGCGACCACCUGGACUGAUACUGACACUGAGGUGCGAAAGCGUGGGGAGCAAACCGG
rnacentral:rRNA from 1 species